UCGAUUGGCCUCACAUAUGUUGCACUUUCUAGGUGCAAGACAUUGUGUGGCCUUGCCUUAAAAGGUUUUCCCAUUACUAGGCUACAUCAAAUUAACAAUCAUAAACAGUUAACAGCAAGGAAAUCCUUUUGGGAUAUAUUUUAUAAAAGUAAAUCCAAGUAAUUAUUAGUUUGACAGGUAAUUAUUAACAAUGUAACAUUAGUUUUUGAACUUGUCAAUCACUGAUACGACAGACGACUAGUUUAUUUAUCUUGUGGUUAUGAAAUGUCGCGUGCGUCCUGCGGCCAGUGAUGUCAUUGUUCUUUUGUUCAAAACAAAAGAACAACGAUACCUAGGCCGCAUGCAUGAAUGAAUGUGAGUUUCAUAGCCAAACUAUUGGUUAAAGUCAGGGACGGAGCGCGAAGAGCACAAUAUUGUUAUUGCGAGUCUACCGGCUGUCAAGUACUGUCGUCUUCGUCCAAGCUGUCGUGUUGGUUAGCACUUGCCAUUCAUUCAUCGUGCUCCGUUCUCCAAAUCCACAAUCGUAAGUACCCGCACUGUUAAAAAAACCUACAGUAAAUUCUACAGUGAGCUCUGUCAAUUUGUUACUACUUUGAUUACGGUCCACUCCGUACAGGAGGUACCGUAAUUUCAGUAAAGUACUGUCAAUAUCUUUACAUUCCGGGCCGUACAUUUAAUAUACAGGACGGACUGUAGGCAAACUGUACUUCGUUACAGCUUUGUUAUCAGUGUAGUUCGUCAUGUAAAUGACAUGUGCUUCGGUAUGUCUAACCUUGCUCACGACCACAUGGCCACACUUUGAGUCCAACACCAAGUUCAUUGUUUUUAAUUACCAAUUUGAUAUGUGUUAGCUGGGUUUGUUGAAUAUUCUGCUCAAUUUUUGAUAGUGUGCUAGUGACUUUUCACCAAUUUGUAUAGCAGUAUAAGGUUGUGUAAAACCUGUUUGGUCCUAUUCUGCUAUUUAACAUCAAGGUUUAAUCAAAGCUUGUCAUUCAAUUUAUUUUCAUGAAUGAUCUUAGUUCAUGUGGGCUUGUGAAUGGUUUUGCUAGGCAUGUGUGAACUUGUGUAGCACUGAUGGAUUUAGUCUUGGUGAAGUUAGUAAAGCUGAAACCGUAUCUUUCAUUUGGCCAAUCAGUCUUUUCAAAACAAAUGAUGGUGUGGCUUCAGCUUUACUAGCUAAAUUUUUAAGUUUGGGGAGAAGUGGAGAGGAUUCCAGUCCAUCUUAUCCCCCUGUUACUGUACCACUAAAAUGUAAUAAAUCCCUUGACCAGAACAGCAGGCUUCAACGUAGAAGAAAUGCAUUAGGAAAACAGACAUCAGGGCAAACUCGCAUUGCAACUUAUUUCCCCAUUCUCAAUCAAAUUGAGAUCGACGCAUCCGUGCAAUAAAGGCGGAUCGCUGAACAACGACGGAUCAGAAAGCAGUCGCUGAACAACGACGGAUCAGAAAGCGGUCGCUGAACAACGACGGAUCAGAAAGCGGUCGCUCAAAAACGCCGUAACCAACAUUUUGGCGAUUUUGAGAUUUUGACGCUACACUAUCAAUUAAGACCCAUACUUUCUAGCUAUAGUCACCAAAAAAUCGAACAAAAAUUGUAAAGCCUUCAAAUUGAUGAAAAACAAAGCGACGGAUCUACACGACAGUGGUAUCGCGGCCCGCAACAUAGGCGGAUGUGCGAGCCGCUCGGGUCACGACGCGUGAACAACGACGCAUGUACCUACGCCACCGACUCAGGCGCUCCUCGCGGAGCGGCAGCAGUACAAGGAGUGCGUCGAGUGAGGCUAAGUGGCGUCUCAGCGUCUCGAGGCUGGCCGGCUGGCAUUUUUCGGUUAGGUGUGUAAUAUAUAAAAAUGACAGGAAAGCGAAAGUUUCAGACACCAGCACGCUCCCGUAAGCUCGCUGAAAUGGGGCGACAGGCAUACAUGGACAAAACGAAUGGAAUAAUGGUAAGCUCAAAAUGUAUCGAUAGUGUGUGUCACCUCCCGGCCAUUUAUCAUUAAAAUUUGGACACAAUACUCUGUUUCAAUUGUAAGAUUUCUGUUUUUUCUGUUGUCGUUUACUCUUUGUUUACUGCUCGAUCUUCGUGGCGAAUGUUCAUUGAGAUUUCAAGAUAAAACGUACUUAGUCUUAUUUCCUUACCUAGCUUUUUUCAUUUUUUUCUAAUCAGCUCCUUUAACCAAUGUGUUUUUAUUUUAAUCACAAUCAAUCAAGCUGUUUGUUUUUUCAUUUCAGAUAUCUUGGACAGGAAUAACAUUGCAGAGAGUCCCUGCCCCAUAAAUGAUGACGAGCCUGGAUACAAGAAAUUUGCUACGAAACUAGAUGAGGAAAAUGUUGAGAAUCGACAAUGCACUCCCUCUAAUGCCAAAUCAGUUGUCACCUGCGUCACUCCAAGGAAAGUUUUAGUAAAUAUUGAGAACAUAGCAGACAACAGUCUGACAUCUCCGCCAUCAAAAAAGGUUAUUACUUGAGCAUAGCACAGAUACUCCUCCCAAAUCACGACGUUCAUUGCGUUGGAGUAAAAGUUCAGAAAUUAAUGAGAGUGAGGAUGCUGCCCAGAAAGGCCAGCCCUCUGGAUUAAAUUUGCAUACCUCUGGGCUCUCACUGCUUCAAACAUAUGGUUCUGAUGAUAGCCAAUCCUGUCAUGAAUAUCC